CAACCUGCCCUUCANAGGGGGACAACAGUUGGAAACGACUGCUAAUACCGCAUACGAUCUGACCUCGGCAUCGAGGAUGGAUGAAAGGUGGCCUCUAUUUAUAAGCUAUCACUGAAGGAGGGGAUUGCGUCUGAUUAGCUAGUUGGAGGGGUAACGGCCCACCAAGGCGAUGAUCAGUAGCCGGUCUGAGAGGAUGAACGGCCACAUUGGGACUGAGACACGGCCCAGACUCCUACGGGAGGCAGCAUG
rnacentral:rRNA from 1 species